GAUAUGAACUCUCCGAAAAAAUUACGCUGUUAUCCCUAAGGUAAGUUAAUCUUAUAAUCAAAAAUUCUGGAUCAAAAAAACAUAAAUUAAUGAAUAAAAUAUUAAAAGUUAAAUAAAUUUUAAUGUCACCCCAACAAAACUUUAUAUUCUAAAAAAUUGUUUAAUAAACAAAAAACAAUAAUUAAUAAAUAAAGUAAACUUCUAUAGGGUCUUCUCGUCCUAUAAAAAAAUUUUAGCUUUUUAACUAAAAAAUUAAGUUCAAAACAAUUAAAAAAAGAAAGUUUAUUUUUCAUCAAACCAUUCAUGCUAGCCUUCAAUUAAAAGACAAAUGAUUAUGCUACCUUCGUACAGUUAAAAUACCGCAGCCUUUUAAUUCAUAAAAAUCAAUGGGCAGGUCUGAUCUUAAAUUAAAAUCAAAAGACC
rnacentral:rRNA from 1 species